rnacentral:rRNA from 1 species
CACAGAGCAAUCUGUGUGACUGCGUACCUUUUGUAUAAUGGGUCAGCGACUUAUAUUCUGUAGCAAGGUUAACCGAAUAGGGGAGCCGAAGGGAAACCGAGUCUUAACUGGGCGUUAAGUUGCAGGGUAUAGACCCGAAACCCGGUGAUCUAGCCAUGGGCAGGUUGAAGGUUGGGUAACACUAACUGGAGGACCGAACCGACUAAUGUUGAAAAAUUAGCGGAUGACUUGUGGCUGGGGGUGAAAGGCCAAUCAAACCGGGAGAUAGCUGGUUCUCCCCGAAAGCUAUUUAGGUAGCGCCUCGUGAAUUCAUCUCCGGGGGUAGAGCACUGUUUCGGCAAGGGGGUCAUCCCGACUUACCAACCCGAUGCAAACUGCGAAUACCGGAGAAUGUUAUCACGGGAGACACACGGCGGGUGCUAACGUCCGUCGUGAAGAGGGAAACAACCCAGACCGCCAGCUAAGGUCCCAAAGUCAUGGUUAAGUGGGAAACGAUGUGGGAAGGCCCAGACAGCCAGGAUGUUGGCUUAGAAGCAGCCAUCAUUUAAAGAAAGCGUAAUAGCUCACUGGUCGAGUCGGCCUGCGCGGAAGAUGUAACGGGGCUAAACCAUGCACCGAAGCUGCGGCAGCGACACUGUGUGUUGUUGGGUAGGGGAGCGUUCUGUAAGCCUGUGAAGGUGUGCUGUGAGGCAUGCUGGAGGUAUCAGAAGUGCGAAUGCUGACAUAAGUAACGAUAAAGCGGGUGAAAAGCCCGCUCGCCGGAAGACCAAGGGUUCCUGUCCAACGUUAAUCGGGGCAGGGUGAGUCGACCCCUAAGGCGAGGCCGAAAGGCGUAGUCGAUGGGAAACAGGUUAAUAUUCCUGUACUUGGUGUUACUGCGAAGGGGGGACGGAGAAGGCUAUGUUGGCCGGGCGACGGUUGUCCCGGUUUAAGCGUGUAGGCUGGUUUUCCAGGCAAAUCCGGAAAAUCAAGGCUGAGGCGUGAUGACGAGGCACUACGGUGCUGAAGCAACAAAUGCCCUGCUUCCAGGAAAAGCCUCUAAGCAUCAGGUAACAUCAAAUCGUACCCCAAACCGACACAGGUGGUCAGGUAGAGAAUACCAAGGCGCUUGAGAGAACUCGGGUGAAGGAACUAGGCAAAAUGGUGCCGUAACUUCGGGAGAAGGCACGCUGAUAUGUAGGUGAAGUCCCUCGCGGAUGGAGCUGAAAUCAGUCGAAGAUACCAGCUGGCUGCAACUGUUUAUUAAAAACACAGCACUGUGCAAACACGAAAGUGGACGUAUACGGUGUGACGCCUGCCCGGUGCCGGAAGGUUAAUUGAUGGGGUCAGCGCAAGCGAAGCUCUUGAUCGAAGCCCCGGUAAACGGCGGCCGUAACUAUAACGGUCCUAAGGUAGCGAAAUUCCUUGUCGGGUAAGUUCCGACCUGCACGAAUGGCGUAAUGAUGGCCAGGCUGUCUCCACCCGAGACUCAGUGAAAUUGAACUCGCUGUGAAGAUGCAGUGUACCCGCGGCAAGACGGAAAGACCCCGUGAACCUUUACUAUAGCUUGACACUGAACAUUGAGCCUUGAUGUGUAGGAUAGGUGGGAGGCUUUGAAGUGUGGACGCCAGUCUGCAUGGAGCCGACCUUGAAAUACCACCCUUUAAUGUUUGAUGUUCUAACGUGGACCCGUGAUCCGGGUUGCGGACAGUGUCUGGUGGGUAGUUUGACUGGGGCGGUCUCCUCCUAAAGAGUAACGGAGGAGCACGAAGGUUGGCUAAUCCUGGUCGGACAUCAGGAGGUUAGUGCAAUGGCAUAAGCCAGCUUGACUGCGAGCGUGACGGCGCGAGCAGGUGCGAAAGCAGGUCAUAGUGAUCCGGUGGUUCUGAAUGGAAGGGCCAUCGCUCAACGGAUAAAAGGUACUCCGGGGAUAACAGGCUGAUACCGCCCAAGAGUUCAUAUCGACGGCGGUGUUUGGCACCUCGAUGUCGGCUCAUCACAUCCUGGGGCUGAAGUAGGUCCCAAGGGUAUGGCUGUUCGCCAUUUAAAGUGGUACGCGAGCUGGGUUUAGAACGUCGUGAGACAGUUCGGUCCCUAUCUGCCGUGGGCGCUGGAGAACUGAGGGGGGCUGCUCCUAGUACGAGAGGACCGGAGUGGACGCAUCACUGGUGUUCGGGUUGUCAUGCCAAUGGCACUGCCCGGUAGCUAAAUGCGGAAGAGAUAAGUGCUGAAAGCAUCUAAGCACGAAACUUGCCCCGAGAUGAGUUCUCCCUGACCCUUUAAGGGUCCUGAAGGAACGUUGAAGACGACGACGUUGAUAGGCCGGGUGUGUAAGCGCAGCGAUGCGUUGAGCUAACCGGUACUAAUGAACCGUGAGGCUUAACCUUACAACGCCGAAGGUGUUU